GACCCGGUGGUGUAACGGUAUCACGCUUGUUUCACUUCUUUCCAGCAUUUGUGGCAUCAAGUUUUACGAGAGGUCCCGGUUCGAUUCUGGGCUGGGUCA